AUUAUGUUUUUUGAAAAUUUAAAUUUUAUUUAUUUAAUUUCUUUUAAUAUUUUAUACUAAUAUUAUUUUAAUAAAUUUCCAAACAAAAUCAUUUCCCAAAAUCUGAGCACUCGUUCCCCUCUGUUCCCUUCUCUCGUCUCCUGCCAAAAGACUUUGAAACUAUUGCAAAAAUAUUUCCCAAAACAACCCGAGAGGCUUCAUUGUUCAUAUCUGGAAAAAAAUUUCCCAAAACCGCAGCAGAUCAUUUGCCCUGUUCCCUUCUUCUUUCAAAGAAGAUCUGUCACCUUCAUGCUCAUAACUUGUGCCGAGAGGUCUCCAUUGUUCUGGUUUGCAGAAAAAAUCAGCAGGCAUUAUUAACCAACAGGGGAAACUUCAUAGGAGAGAGAGAACCAAAAAAGUAGCAGAAAAACACCAGCUAGGGAAACACACACGAGAGAGAGAACCCAAAUUAGAGGAGCUAAAUUGAUCGUGCUAGUUGAUCGUGCUAGUUUCGAAGAAGGAAGCAGUGAUUCGGAGGAGGAUGGGAUUCCAAAUUUCUAGACUGACAUGUCUCAAAUGGUUGGAGGGAUAAAUAUGUCAAGUAGCAGCAACACAAGGAGCAAUGGCAAAAGAAAAGAACGAGAUCUUUCUGAGGUCCAAGGUAGAAAGAAGAAAACGUAUGGAAUUGGUGUUCGGUAAGGUGCUAUCAACUACUUGAGAGUAUGUUGACUAAGAAUAAUUACACUUCUUUGAAUGUGGAUCGCGAAGGCUGUAGUAUUUGCGAGGUGAUGGCUGAGCUCCACUCAAUUCCUGGAGUUUCAAUUGAAGAUGAGUUUCACAACUUUGCUAUGGAGUAUUUGGGUUUAAGAAGGAAAAAAGAAAUGUGGGCCAGUAUGGGUGAUAAGCAACAGAAAUUGAGAUGGUUGCAAUGAAUGUAUACACAAAGUAAACGUGCUUAGCUGACAUGGUAUGAUUUCAUUUUCUUAACUGUUAAUUAACUAACUAUGUUCAAGUGUUUACGGUAUUUAUAGAUGUUUACUUUAUUUUUGUAGAAUAAUGUGAUGACAGUUUUUAAAAGAGUAGUUUUUAUUUGCUGAAGUUCGUUCAAGUCAUUGUAUUAUUCCAUAUUUCGUGUUGAGACAUAUGGGCAUAUCUAUUUGUGGUAAUAUUUUUACUGUUGUAUUUAUUAAACUGCUUUUCAGGAGUUAACAUACUUGGACGAGAAAUUGCUGAUUUUUAA